rnacentral:lncRNA from 1 species
UCUGUGGGCAUCACUAAUGUAGCAGAUACAGAAAAUUAUCUUUAUUCAUUUUGGCAUCAAUCAAGGAAAGAAACAUUUCACAUAGUUAAAAAGCACUUAGCCCAGUGCGGGACUCGUCGUAAGUAUGCAAUAAUUGUAAGUUAUGGCUGUGAUCGCUACCAUUGUUACAUCACAACACCUAGGACAGAAUCUGUUAUUUUGCCUGGGGAGAUGAUAAAUCUCUUCACGAAUGUAGGGUCCCACUCGAACCUCAGACACUGCUCAGGGAGACUGCAGGGUGACACAGACCACAUGCGUCAUGGCAGAGCCCUCAUCUUGAAUUGUGACUGGGUUCAAGUGCUCACUAUUCACUUGUCAACCAAUGCUUGUUGAACUCUUGGCCGGCGUGGGGUAGGGCACACCCCUGCCUUCUGCCUCUCGGGAAGCCAUUCAUUCAUUUUCAAGUACUUGUGGAACAUCCGGUGGUCAUUUUAAGGAGUGGGUUAGAGGCAUUUAGACCACAAUCUCCAUCAGUCUUGCCGUCCAAACUCGCCCUGUGUCUGGAGGACAAGCCAUGCGUUUUCCUGGGCUGUGUCCCACGCUCGGAAAAGGGCAGGCCCACCUCUGGGGCUGGGGGGAAAGGCCGCCCUCCCGGAGUCCGUCCAGGGAGCCUGGAAGCAGCGCCUCCUGCUGGGACGAUGCAGUCUCUGCACUUGGGUGCCGGCCCGGUGCUUGAGGUUCUCUGCCCACAGUCCCAGGCUCACCCCACGCAGGGCUGGCUUCCACGUGCAGGACCACAAAACCACGUCUGGAUCCAUGGUGUUUCGGUAGAAGCCAGCAAAGAUGCUGCACGUCUGCUCAGUGCUCUCCGCCAAAGGCUUGCUCCUAUGAAGGAAGCUUCAGAACCAUCCCGGAGGGAAGUCUUCUCAUUAAGUAACAGUCAAUGAAAAAAGUUUCCAAUGUGAUGGUGCAUAGAAUCAUCUGAGUGGCGUGUUUAGACACCGCUGAGGAGCCUACUGCAAGAACCCAGUAGGUUCUCAAGGGAGGUCAGCGGUCUGCACUUCCAGCUCGUCGGGUGGUCAGAGACCCACACUGUUGAGAGCCACUGCGGCUGGAGCUUGUCAUGGUGCUGCUCACAGCCUCAGCCUGGAAUGGCAGGGCCGCGGCGGGAAGAGUCUCUGUCCUGCCGGGACAGCUCGCAGGAAGCAGGGCCUCCCAAAGGCCCUCGGAGACCUGCAAUAGUGUGUCUGUAAGGGUGAGCGUUGUGGUGGAGGUUGGGAUUCAC